rnacentral:lncRNA from 1 species
UUCUGCAAAUUUCAUCUAAAUCGUCAGUGUGGGGAGAAUUUCAAAGCAGGGACUCAACUUUUGGGCACAUUGUAGCCAUGGUAGAAGAUGUAUGGUAAUAAAUCCCCAAGUGGGAGGACCCUGCGAGAGAUCAUUUUCCCAGUUCUCUCACGAGGAAGAUUUGAAGAUUAGGCCAAAUUCAGUUAUCAGAGGCUCAUCAGAAGUAGAUGGAAGAGAAAUGAGUCUUCUCAAGAAAAGAAGUAAGACCCCAAGCUCAUUGCCAAAACGCGUGGAGAUGGAUCCUAAAUCCUUGAAGGAGAGCUCGGAGCGCUCUGGCUCCUGUUUAAGUUGGCGGGCGAUUGUUAAGAAGCUUUGGAAAAAAUUACCAGUCGCCGCGAACGAAAUGGAAUGUGAGACAUGCAAUCUAACGGUAGUAGUAGAAGAGAAGUAGAUGAUCUCCCUCUUCUUUUCCGAUCGCCACUUCUGUGUCCCUGGCUUUUCCUCUCCGUCCCUCCCACAGUUUCUUUCCGUAUCCUCCCCCUCCCCUCCUCCUUUUCUCGCACGCUCCCUUUCCAGUGUCUCGCGCUCUCGGAGUCUCUGCUCCGAGUUCCUGGUUGGAUAAUUUGGGUUAAUACUAGUGAGUGAGGUUUUUGCGGCUUCAAAGGGUAUUUCAAGUUUCCGGAGCUCCUCCCCUCUGCACCGUGUGACAACAACAACUCGUCCAGCCGGCAGCCUGCACUUUUCAGCUCAUUUUCUCUCUGUCAUUCCCCUCUCAAUCUUUGAUCAAUGUACUUGCCAGGGAGAGCCCAAGUCCUUCAAACCUCCUCCUUUUCACCUUCAUCCUUAACUUUGUGCUAGACCGGGACCCACACAACAACAGCCGACCCUCCCCCCUUUCCCCCCCAAACCAGCCCUCGAUCCCAGCCCCCGGAGAGGACUCGCAUUUCGACUUGCGGGACACUUUCUCUCCAGCCUCUCUCGGCUCCCUCCCUCCUCCUCCCCUUUCCCUCUUCCCCUCCCUUCCCCCUUCCUUCCCCCCUCCCCUCCCCCAACUUUCCCCUCGCUUCUCCUCCGUCU